AACACUCUAGAGGCCACAUUUAUUGUCUGAUCUUCAUGAAACUUUGUAAGAAGAUUCAUCCUAAUAAUAUCUUAGACGAGUUCGAAAAUGAUGCUGGUUGGUUGAAAAACGUGGCCGCCAGGGGGCAGGGCAUAUAGUAAAACCUUGUUAAUACUCUAGAGGCCACAUUAAUUUUCUGAUCUUCAUGGAACUUGCUUGGAAGAUUUGUCCCAAAGAUAUCUUGGAUGAGUUCUAAAAUGGUUUAGGUUGCUUUAAAAACAUGACCACCAGGGGGCGGGGCAUUUUUCCUUAUAUGGCUAUAGUAAAAUCUUGUUAACACUCUAGAGACCACAUUUAUUGUCCCGAUCUUCAUGAAACUUGGUCAGAAGAUUCAUCCCAAUAAUAUCUUGGACCAGUUCAAAAAUGAUGCCGUUUAGUUGAAAAACAUGGCCGCCAGGGGGCGGGGCAUUUUUCCAUAUAUGGCUAUAGUAAAACCUUGUUAACACUCUAGAGGUCACAUUUAUUUUCCGAUCUUCAUGAAACUUGGUGAGAAUAUUUGUCCAUAUGAUAUCUUGGUUGAGUUUUAAAAUGGUUUCAGUUGCUUUAAAAACAUGCCCACCAGGGGGCGGGGCAUUUUUCCUUAUAUGGCUAUAUAUGGCUAUAGUAAAAUUUUGUUAACACUCCAGAGACCACAUUUAUUGUCUGAUCUUCAUGAAACUUGGUCAGAAGAUUCAUGCCUAUGAUUCAUGCCUAUGAUAUCUUGGACGAGUUCAAAAAUGAUGCCGGUUGGUCGAAAAACAUGGCCGCCAGGGGCGGUGUAUUUUUCCUUAUAUGGCUAUAGUAAAACCUUGUUAACACUUUAGAGGCCAUGUUUAUUUUCCGAUCUACAUGAAACUUGGUCAGAAGAUUUGUCCAAAUGAUAUCUUGGAUGAGUGUGAACAUUGUGUCAGUUGCUUUAUAAACAUGGCCAUCAGUGGGCAGGGCAUUUUUCCUAAUAUGGCUAUAUAUUGCUUUAGUAAAACCUUAUUAACACACUGAGAGGCCCCAUUAAUUGUCCGGGCCCGUAUUCACCAACCGAGAUUCUUAGACUUGAGAAUAGAGAAUAGACUUAGAACCAAGAAAAAUGUGUUCAGUGUUUGAAUAUAUACAGGCUUCCACUGGUGAUUAUGUCAUUAACAAAAUGUUCUAUAUGAAGAAUAAUAUAGAUAGAGGUGUUUACUGCAGAGUUUUACUCAAUAUUUAAGAAAUUCUUGAAUAUUCUAAUUUAAAGAAUUUUCUUUAUUCUUAGACUUAGGUCAAAGAAUUGUUUGGUGAAUACGGGCCCCGAUCAUCAUGAAACUUGGUCACAAGAUUUGUACCAAUGAUAUCUUGGAUGAGUUCGAAAAUGGUUCCGGUUGGUGGAAAAACAUGGCCGCCAAGGGGACGUGGCAUUUUUCCUUGUAUACCUAUAGUAAAACCUUGUUAACACUCUAGAAGCCAUAUUUAUUGUCCGAUCAUCAUGAAAGUUUGUCAGAACAUUUGACCCAAUUAUAUCUUGGACAAGUUCGAAAAUGGUUCCAGUUGCUUGAAAAACAUGGCCACCAGGGGUGGGGCAUUUUUCCUUAUGUGGCUUCAUGAAUCUUCAUGAAACUUUGUCAGAACAUUUGUUUAAAUGAUAUCUUGGAUGUGUAUGAAAAUAGUUCUGGUCUGUUAAAAAAGUGGCUGUCUGGGUGUUCACUAGUCAUAAAAGUUGGUGAGAACAUUUUGUUCUAAUGAACAUCUUGGCUGCACAGAACAGGUCAGUUCCUUUCCUCUCAGGUGAGCGACUUUGGGCCUUUCAGGCCCUCUUGUUUAAAGAUGUUUCUUGUUUAAGGUUUCCACUGAAAAAGUGGUCAAUACGUUUUUCUGAAUGGGAACAAUGAUUGAUUGUCUUGGUAAGGCUUAAGUUAUAUUUGAAAAAUCUUGAACAAUGGAUCCCAUGGUAAAUUGUCGUUGGUAGAACACUGUAACAUUCUUGACCUAAUUUUGAAUUUAAAGACAUUGGGCUCAAACGAAAGAUUGCUGUUAUCGUUCACAGGGAUCGGAACACAUGUUGAUUUUGAUCACAAUUCAUACUGGUGACUUUGCAUAUGUUAAAUGUGAGUUUAAAAAGGUUUUCAUAAAUAAAUAUUGUUACUAAGUUUCAGAUGGUGCUUAUUUGAAUAAAGCCUGCUGUUCUCAGAGUGUUGCUAUUUUGUGUAAGUGCAUUUUGGGUAUGACAUCAAAUUGUAUAUUUAAGAAUUGUUAACUUUUUUCAUAUGAUAAAAUAUAAUUAUUAUCAUUAAAAAAUCUCAUAUACAUGUAUUUAUGGAGAUCUGUUAAGUUUGUGAACAAAUGUGAACUUUUUAAAUUAUUGACCAAGUUAAUGAUUUAAAAUGUUAUUGAAGCUGACUGAUCUACAAACAAAAAUGGUUUUAUUUUACUAAUUGUUUUAAUUUAGUUAGAACAUUACUGACUGGAAUCUUUAAAAUGGUGAGAAAUAGCUAAACAUGAAACAUGCUGUGCCCAUUAAAAAAUAAUAAGUCUACUACUUUACUCAAUAAAAAAGUAAAAACCUCAUGUUAAUAUUAUGAUGAAUGCUUAUACUUGAUUGGCAAACACUCAAUUAGUACCAUUUAAAUGAACCAAUGAAGAAGAGAUCACUUAUAUCAUCAUUGUUUUGGUAUUUUGUUUAAGAAAAUAUAACAUUACAUAUUAUACCAUAUCCAUGACAAUUUCAUACGUUUUGAGUUUGAUUUUUUCCUGAUUUGUGGAAAUCAGGGAAAAAAAUUCUUUUUCAAAAUUAUGUAAUUUUUCAGGUGAGGAAUAAACUGACUUGUAUCAAUGACUUGCAGUAGGUGGUUUGAACUUGAAAUAAAAAAUCUGUAAACUAAACGUAUUGGUAAGUUCUCAGUUUCAAAAUGAUCCAAGAUUUUCUAUAUGAUCGAAUUAUGCUGUUGAUAGACCAGUUUCUUUUACAUGUGACAUUAUACAGUAACAUUAAAUAUUUGACACGUAUAAAUAUGUGUCUUGUUCUGAGAAAACUGGGCAUAAUGCAUGUGCGUACAGUGUUGUCCCAGAGUAGCCUGUGCAGUCCGCACAGGCUAAUCUGGGACAACACUUUACACUUUUAUGACAUUUUUUGUCAUAAAAGUCUCCUCUUAGCAAAAAUUUAAUUUAGGCAAAAAGUGUCGUUCCUGAUUAGCCUGUGGACUGCACAUGCUAAUCUGGGACAACCCUUUACGCACAUGCAUUAUGCCCAGUGUUCUCAGAACACGACACAUAUUUACUCCACAUUAGUUAGUCUUUCUGUUUUGUUAAAAUAUUUGACCGGCUUGCAUAGUUUGAACACAAAAGUCAUGAUUCUUGCUGGUGUCGUAUACUGUCUGUUAAAAGUAGAUAGUUGUUAUUUUUGUGUCUAUUGUUGUGUUUGUGAAACCCGGUUCAAUCAUAUCUAUUAUAAUACAUUCAGGUGAAAGAAGGAAUAAAAAAAAUAUUUUGUGAAGUUUCCUUCAAAAUAUAGUGUCAUGUUGUAAGAUGACCAUGUUCAAAUACUCAUUGAUCUUGCAGAAACAUUUUGGGGGGAUUUAUUGUUGCACUUAAGUAUUUCAUAUCCAUACAUAUUUUCAACAAAUCACAUGUGAGUUUGUGUUGUUUUGCUUUGUUCUGAUAGCUAUUAUGUGUUUUGAUUGUUAGAUAAUACAUGCUAACAUGUGCUCAUUAUUAAGCCUUUUUCACUCAAAAGCAUCUGUUAUUGUAUUUUUUUUAAGGUAUUUUGAUAUUUGGUUGACUCAUGAAUUCAUAUAAAAGCUGAGUAUACAAAUCACUGAUUUGAAAUAGAAUGUGAAUUAAAUAGUUUACUGGCCAAGAUAAUGUUAACCAAUAAUGAAACAAAAUCUAUUGCAAAAAUGCCUUAUAAUUAACUGGCAUUGUCAAAAUACAAAUUGCAUGUACACCAUUUAUUGUCUGGAUGGUUCUUGUACAUGUAGCAGUCACAUUGAUUGUUGCAAUUAAAUUAUUUUUAAAAAGUUAAUAGGGUAGUUUUAUAUCAAACAAAAAUAUCACAAAUGUUAACUAUGUUUUUUUCACUGCAACUCUUGCUAGUGAUUUGAAUGUAUGUUGGCAAUUAUGUUUUGUUUGUGUCAAUUGUUUAUGCUUUAUCCCUGUAUGUUUUAAAUCAAAUGUUGGUUUUUGCCCAUGGAUCACAAUUUGGAUAGCAUAAUGAUCCAUGUCAAUUGUUUACUUCCAUAUUUGUUAAAAAUCUAAGUGCUUUCAUCUACAAAAUUGAAAUUACAUUCUGUAGCUGCACCUUGAUGAGUUCUACAGGCCGCACCCAUUUUUGGGUCACUAGGUCAAAGGUCAAGGUCACUGUGACCUCUAAUAUUCUUCUGACAAGCUUUCAUUUAUUCAAAACUGCACCCGCAGCCGAGCCUUGGCACCUGUUAUGCGGUGCUCUUGUUUUUUUAUAUGUUAUGAUGUUAGAAAUAUAUUUGUUAUCAAACUUAAGCUUUUCAAUAAACAAAUCUUUCUACAUGUUAUGAGAAGUUUUGGAAAACAUACUGUGUAUGCACUAUAAAACAUGGUAUAUUCUGAUUAUUUGAUCCAUUGUUUGACAAAUACUGAUAUCUACUAAGUAUUAUAGGACUGACGUUAGCACACUUAAAGUACAAAAUUAUUUACCUCAAUCUUUAAGAUGCUGUGAUAAUUAAGGUUAGUGGUUCCAAAGACAUUUUUCCCAAAACAAUUAAGAUUUUUUCCAAAAAACUAUGAAUUAUUUGAAUAAUUAUUGUUAUGCCCCCCUUCAAAAAAGAGGGGGUGUAUUGCUUUGCACAUGUCGGUCGGUCCGUCAGUCUGUCCGUUGGUUGGUCGGUCCACCAGAUGGUUUCGGGAUGAUAACUCAAGAACGCUUAGGCCUAGGAUCAUGAAACUUCAUAGUAACAUUGAUCAUGACUGGCAGAUGACCCCUAUUGAUUUUCAGGUCACUAGGAUAAAGGUCAAGGUAACAGUGACUCGAAACACUAAAAUGGUUUCCGGAUGAUAACUCAAGAAUGCUUACGCCUAGGAUCAUGAAACUUCAUAGGUACAUUGAUCAUGACUGGCAGAUGACCCCUAUCAAUGAUCAGGUCACUUGGUCAAAGAUCAAGGUCACAGUGAAUCAAAACAGUAAAAUGGUUUCCUGAUGAUAACUUGAGAACUUUUAGGCCUAGGAUCAUGAAACUUCAUAGGUACAUUGAUCAUGACUGACAGAUGACCCCUAUUGAUUUUCAGGUCACAAGGUCAAAGGUCAAGGUCACAGUGACAAAAAACGUAUUCACACAAUGGCUGCCACUACAACUGACAGCCCAUAUGGGGAGCAUGCAUGUUUUACAAACAGCCCUUGUUAUCAUUUCUUCUGCUACAUUUUUCGUCUAUUAUGUUAAUCAACUAAUGUGAUCAGAACAUUUUCUUAGCUAUGCCCCUCUUUGAAGAGAAAGGGGUAUAGUUUUUUGCUGGAUGUCAGUCGGUCUGUUUGUGUGUCUGUAGACCAGUUCAUUUCAGAUUAAUAACUUGUCAACGAAUUGACCGAUUAGCUUGAUACUUCUCUUGUGCAUUGGCUUUGGACAGUAGAUGACCUCUAUUGACAUUGGGGUCACUAGGUCAAAGGUCACUAUCACACUAAGUGUGAAAAUCGUUUUCGAUCAAUAACUCGUCAACAAAUUGACCGAUCGGCUUGAUACUUCACAUGUCUUUUGCCUUGAACAGUAGAUGACUCCUAUUGAAAUUGGGGUCACUAAGUCAAAGGUCAAGGUCACUAUCACACGAAGUGUGAAAAUUGUUACUGAUCAAUAACUCGUAAACAAAUUGACCAAUUGGCUUGAGACUUCUCAUGUGCAUUGGCCUUGGACAUUAGAUUACCCCUAUUGAAAUUGGGGUCACUAGGUCGAAGGUAAAGGUAGCUGUUACAAACUUAGUGUGAGAUCAUUUCUGAUCAAUAAUUCGUCAACUGAUUCACCUAUUGGUUUGAUACCUCUCAUGCAUAUUUGCUUUGGACAGUAGAUGACUCCUAUUUGGGGUCACUAGGUCAAAGGUCAAGGUCCCUGUCACAAUAAGUGUGAACAUUGUUUCCGAUCAAUUACUCAUCAAUAAAUUGACCGAUUGGCUUGAUACAUCACAUGCCCAUUGGCCUUGGACAGUGGAUGAGCCCAGCUAUUGAAAAAUUGGGGUCACUAGUUUAAAGCCCUGUUUGGGGGGGCAUAUGUCUCCGACUGCGGAACUCUUGUUAAGAAUAAAUUAGCAAUUCUAUUAUUUAAACAUUAAUUAAUAAUCUGUAUGAUACUUACUGUUGACACAAGUUAUACCAAUAUCAUAUUUAAGAUGAGAUUUAUGACAAAUAGAAAUAUGUAGUACUAAUACAUUUAUGAGCAACCUAUUUUAAGGCCCCUGGGCAUCAUGUUUUUGAUAUACGGGUACAUAUUUUUUUUGGUGGUUCAUUAUUUUUUUAUAAAGAUGUAAAUGUAUUUUGGUAAAACGAAUAACCUCCACCAUGCUUGUCAGGGGAAUUAUUCAGGGUCUCUAAUUUCUUUCCUGUAAAGGGGUUAAUUAGGAGAAGUUGUAAGUCAAACAUAGGCUCUCACUGUUUAACCAUGAACAUCAUAGUAUUCAUGUUCUGUUUUAAGCUCACCUGAACACAAUUAGCACUCAUGGGGAGCUCUUGGGAUAUCUCUGCACCAGUCACAUUCACUGAAACCGCAAAGUUCAUGGUUUUAAUAUUUGGUGCAGAACAUUGAAUAGUUUUUCUGGUCUAAGUUUGUUCAAAUUAUUCCUUGGGGUCAAACAUAACCAUGUCCCAAGGGUCUUUUAAUUUACAUAGAAUUUAAUAGAAAAUAUAUUUAAAAUCUAAUUUUCUGUAACCAUUAAGGUAAGGUGAUCAAUAAUUGGUGUGAAACUUUGUUUUGUUCAAAUUAUGCCUCUUGGGUUCAAAAGUUGAUCUACAGGCCCAUACUCUUACUUGUUUUUGGAUAUGUUAAUAGUAAAAACUUAAACUUGUUCUCAUAUGUUUUCACACAAUAUCAAAGCCGUGUCAUACAGCACAUACAAACUGGAUAAAACCACAUAAUCUGCAGAUAAAAGUUUAUUUUCUUCAUUUCUCAGGCGAACAACCUAGGACCUUUAGGCUGUCAUUGGGAAGAAUUUUGCUAUAGAUGUAUUGAAAAAUAUAUAUUUAAAACAUAUUGAAUAAAAUUAUAUUUCUAAUUUGUACAAAUUAUGGAUAUAAGAAACCAUUAGUGGAAGAAACCUGUAAACUAAAUGCUUAAUUAUUUAAGGGAAGUGCAAUUAGCCAAUAGAAGAAUAUUAUCUUUUUAUCAAACUUUUUUCAACAAACUUACCUUAAGCAAUUUUAAAUUGUAAAGUUGUUUUUAAUUCACAUGGUUAUGUAUAAUACUUUUUUGUUACUUAUUUAUUUCAUUCAUGUGUUAGGGGCAUUUGAUUUGUGACAAAAAUUACAUUUAUUAUUUAUAUUCAUUAUUUAUGUUGCUGUUACUUAAAGGGGUUAAGCGAUGGAAAUAGGAAUAAUGUAACAAGAAAAGAGAGACUGUAUUCUGUGUUUUGACAUAGCAAAAAAGGAAAAACAGACUCGGAAAAAAUUAUAUUACUUAACAUCAUUCAAUGUUUACUCCUUCAAUGCCCCUAGCUGUACAUGUUAGUUUUCUGCAUAUUGCUCAAUUGCAUAACAAAUAUACUGUUACUCACUUAUUAAGCUAUAUAUUUAUCACUGUUAUAUAUAUAUUGAACUGGGUCAUUUAUACUUAUUACUUGCCAUGAAAAGAGAUUUACAACAUUAAUCACCUGUGAAAGAUUUUUGCUCGUUAUUGCUUUCCAUUCCGUAUGUUAGACAACAUUUUUGUUGUUGAAUUAUGGUGUAUCGAAAACUGUAAAAUAAAUCCUUCUAUUUAGUUGUUCUAUAUUGUUGAAUGUCUUUCUUAUUUUGUCAUUUUAAAAUCUACUAAACAAACUGAAGGGGGAUUGUAGUGGAAACAUCAUGAGAAUCUUUCUGCCUGAAUGUAGUCACCGACUUAUUCAGAGGAUUCUACACCUUUUAGCUCGACUAUUAUAUAUGAAUUAUAUAUAGUGGAGUUAUCCUACUCAUGUCAGCGUGAGCGAGAGCGUUGGAAUGUUAAGUUUGCAUACCACCUCAAAUAUUUUCUAUGUUUCAUGAGAUAGUGCUUUUAUAUUUUGCAAAUUAACACUGUAUUAUGUGAAUUUGGAAUAAGACAUCAAUUUGGGAAUAAAUUGUGUUUUAUCAAAAGUGCAUAAUAUGCAGUUUUAUAUGUUGUAUUUAUCUAGUUUGACAAAUUAUAAUUAAAACAGAUACUUGCAUAUAUAAUAGCAGCAUUUAAAUUGAUUUUACUUCAAAAAUUGAUUUUUUAUUAAUUAAAAAAAAAUCCUCAUGAAAUGAAACUGUGUCCGUGCCGCGCAU